UUUUUCUUUCUUUCUACCUUUUUUUCAGAUCUCAAGCCUGAGGAGAUGUCCCGCAAAGGAAGCACAAGCAACCGACUAAAAACAACUCUCAAGACCUGAUCUUUUUUCUUCCUGUUUACUCUAGGGAGCUAGAGUGUCAUUUAUUCUUUACAUGCCCCUGAAUGGGUUAAUCUUUUCUUUUCCUUAUUUUGACAACCAUGUUUAUCUUUUGCAAAGGCUAGCAGAGGCGCGGGGUGGCAUGGGAGUGCUAACUGCUAACACAUGGGUUGUGCUGCAUCUCGGCAAAAAUGUCUUUCAUACUUGUACGGGCACCUCAGCCAAGAUCAACACCCUGAGUUUGAUUUUCUUCAUCAUGAAUUGACAGCUUAUUUAUCUCCAUGGAAGAACUUUUUAAGCCCUUUAGUCACCCAGGCAACUUAGGAGGCAUUCAGCUGACGGUUCAAAAAUAUUAUUCUAGCUUCAUAAGAAAUAGAGACUAAAUUAUUUCAUUCCUAUUAGGCUGUCCUUCCUUUAAAGAGACAUUUUGGUGACCCUGAGUUAUAACAAUAACCAAAUACUAUAAACCCACGUGCACGCACACCCCCCUUUUUCAUUGGUAUUUUAUUUUGAAGACCUUUUUAGACCUAAUUCUAGGCUGCAAGUCCAAAGUUGGGUGAUGGUACACUCUUUCCAUGUGUCCCCUUUCCAAUAAUGUUCAGGAAGUCUCACAAGAUAAUUAGGGAAGAAAUUGUUUCCUUUUGGCAUUUCUUGCUAUGGAAAUAAUAGCGUCUGAGGCCCGUGAAACCAACAAGAAACAGAACUCAAAUGCUAACCCCUGAGUCACAACGGAAAAGAGCAUAACCCCACACAGAUGCCGUAUGGAACCUAAACCAACUCAACUCGGUCAGGUUCUCCUUCCAGAGGGAGCUUGAUGAUGCUCCUGGAAGAGGUUUAAAUAAAUUUGCCAGCAGAAAACAACCCAGAAAAGACUCACAAAUUGAGCAUACCAGUGUGGAAUCCAAAAAGUAUUUUCACCAGUAAUAAAUCACCUACAAUUCUGCUACCUAAGAGCAGUGAGAUUAUUGACCUGCUUCGUGUAGGGAUAGAUCUGUACUUAUAACCAUCAGCAAAAGAAAAAAAAAAAAAGAAAACCCUGUAAAUGAGCAUGAGAAAUUGACAGGGGAAGCAGAGAGGUGAGAGGGCACGUUUCCUGGGACAGACUGGAGGAAGGUAUGACUGCAGAACCUCUCAAAUCUUAGCUGGUGCCCCAAUUCUCUAUGAGAAUACCUCCAGUUAAGAUACUAAUUUUUAGAGUUAUGACUUCCACAUGACAAUAGCAAUAACGGAAAAUACUUACUGCAUCCUUACUGUGGGCCCAGUGUCUUGCCACGUGCUUUAGCUCAUUUAAUCUCAUCAUCUCAUUUCACCCCCACAACAAUCCUAUAAUGUAGGUAUGUACUAUUACUGCCUUCGUUUUUCAAUGAGGAAACCAAAGCUCAGACAAGUUAAUUUGCCCAAGAUCCUCUAUUUCUACCCUUAGCCAGCCUAAAUUUCUUCACAUUUUCUAAAGUCCAAUAAAUGGAAGAAAAAAGAUUCUCAUCCUUCCCAAUUUUUGUUUGUUUUUUUGUUUGUCUUUUUAGGGCUGCACACGUGGCGUAUGGAGGUUCCCAGGCUAGGGGUCGAAUCAGAGCUGUAGCUGCUGGCCUACACCACAGCCUCAGAAACUUGGGAUCUGAGCUGCAUCUGCAACGUACACCAGAGCUCACAGCAAUGCCAGAUCUUUAAUCCACUGAGCAAGGCCAGGGAUCAACCCUGAGUCCUCAUGGAUACUAGUCAGGUUUGUUAAUACUGAGCCACGACGGGAACUCCUCAUCAUUCCAAAUUUGAAACUAAAACACAGUUUCUUCUGUCCAGUCUUUAUCUCAUCAUGCAGUCCUUCCAGAAAUCUACCAUUCAUUCUACCUUAUAAUCAUUAGCUAAGUCCCUUCGGUUGCCUAAAUAUUUAGUGCCUAAAGUUCUAAAGUAGGACAGGUGGUUUGUACAGUCUGACGCUGGGCACUUAAAUGCUAUUCAGUGGUCACAAUGGUGAACACACAAACUGGAGGCACCUCCUGUGUCUUUAAUGUGGUCAAAUCCCAUUCCUUCUUACACAGCGUUUGUAAGCAGACAUGCCCAAGGCAGAGUUGCAGGCAUCAAGGUGAGUUUGGCAAAGAAGCUUCCCAAGAGGGAGGAAAGUUCAAAUGGAACUACUCCUGUGUACUUAACCUGCGUGUUAAUGAAUAGGAGGGAAAAAAAAAAAAAGCAUAAAGCAGAUAUGACAGAGACUCCUGGGAAGAGCUUAUGUAAAGAAGAACAUUACGGGAAAGGCGACGCUGAGAAAAAUAAAAUCACAUUCAAAAGUUGCAGCAAGUUUGAGUUUAUUAGUGAUGAAAGGUAAAAACAGAGAGGACAACAUAGCACUCGAUUAGCCCUGGUGGUUCUAAAAUGUGUUGUGAAUAUAAAUAAUUCCAAUGGUUCUCAAUAUGACUGUGAAACAUUUGAGGGCAGGGACUGGACCACACACUUUCUUCUCUCCCUCCCACUCUCUCCCUUCUUCCCCCACCCUCUCUCUUUCUCUCUCUCUCCUCAACCACAUUCUCUGCAACUUUGGGACAGAAGGGCGGUUAGAGGUUCCCCAGUACAAUCACCCCAUUUUGCACACGAGGAGGUAGGGGUGCACAUGGGUACAACGACCAGCCCCAAAUCACACAACUAACUAGUGGCAGGAAACCCCACCACCAACAGGAACCCAGGCCUGUGGAUUCCUUGCCCUGCGGCCUCUUUCAGGAGGUUCCCGAUAAAUAUCAUCAAACUCUGGGGGCUCUGAGAAAGGAAGGAAGAGAAAGUCUGUUGUGCAGAUGCGGACCUCAGGGCUACACGGGUCCUUCAUCAGGUGGUCCUUGCCAUCCAAGCCUUGCUCAGAAGGAUUUCAAACCAGAGAGGCUGCAGCCUUAGAAGAAUGGGUAAGGAUACUGUGAAAGCUCAAAGUUAAUGAGUUUUAAAUUGUGAGAGCUAGUUGGAAAUGUGGAGGAAUGAAAAGUUUGAAGGAUUUAUCAUCAAUCUGGCCAUAAAGAUUAUUCCGUAAGACGUGCUGUAUGUAUAUAGACACACUCACUCAUACAUCACCCCACUUGUAUGCCCAGCGCUGUAUUAACAUAUGUACAUAUUUGUUCAACAGAAGCCUUCAAAGUCCUCUCCGCUAGAGUCAUUUUCAGACAUCUCUCAAACAAGAUGCAGAUCAAAAUGCAAUAUACAAAGUCAGGUAAUGUCCCCGGCAUCAAAUUAAAAUAGCUAACCGGCCAACAGAUGGCAGCUGAAGCAAAUCGCUUGCCGAUUUAAAUAAGAACAGCAUUCAGUUCGGUUGCGCACAUUUUUCUAGACAGAAGUUGACUGCUAAAUGAAAUCAACUUCAGAGCCCAGUUGUUUGUAGUCCGAAGGGGAAAUUACAAAAAACAAAAAUGCCUCCUUUGUUCCUGGAACCUGGGGUGAUUCACAAGCACGGACAUCCCCAGGUCUUCUGAUUUUAAAUCACUAAGGUGGAAAUGUCAUUCACCCGGGAGGUUAUUGAUUAAAAUAAAGAACAGGGAUGUUUUCUGCAUGAACCUCACUUCUGCUGGCAAUGUUGCAUCGUUUAGAUACUGAAAGGAAAGAAGAGGGGGGAAAAAAAAACCAGCAGAGGGAGGAAGGUUCAUAGCAGUCACAGACUGGGAAUAAAUAACACAAAGAAGCUUUCUGGCCUGAGGACAGAGGCAGAGGUUGGCAUUAUUUUACAUUAGAAACACUUCGUAUUCAAAACGGUAAUUGAUAGCAGUGAAGUGUUGGGGAAAAGAGCCACUUGCGUGCAGGCAGCCUGCCCUGCCAAUCAAACUCAACCUUUCUUUGAAUGAAUAAAAGCUUCAUUGCCCUAUUAUGCUGAUACAGUCAGACAGGACUAAAGUAGCCUGUUUGUCAAGUUUAUGUGCACUGCCCCAAGCUACUUAGAUUCUGACGCUUAAAUAAGUCCCUCAAAAUCAGCCGUGAUUUUGGAUACAGUUCCCUUUCCCUACCAGCACAGUGUACAUUUUACCUUGGAGUUGCUCACCACUGGCCAAAGCUGCAGGAGGGGGACCUCUCCCCCCUUGAUGCAGUGCCAGGAGGGCAUUGGGCGGUCUUUUGUUUAGAAUCAGCGGCGCUGAAGUGUUCUGCCCACGGUCUGUGUGUGCUGCGGGCUGUCUGAAGGCUGCAGACAUGUGCCGGUUUCUGUAUUCCCAGCUCUCCAGGAAGUCAGUGUAGAGGACUCUCCAUCACCUCUCUCAUCUUCAGGGAUUUGGGGGUAAAUAGCACCAAACCUUGCUGGCUUACUAAGUGAUCAAUGCCAACCAAAGGUCCUGGGGGUACGUUUUGCUUCCCAGGUCCCAACACUUCUCUGCCUCCAGCAGCAGCGCAUCAGCACUUUGGGCCCCAGAUGGACUGGAAGGUUACACAGCACCCCUCACACCAGCGAUGCAGGAAUCCUGAGGAGGGUCUUUAGACAGGGAGGGCAGCAGGGGCUCAGGAGACUUGAAAAGGAACCUGUGCCCCCCCCCCCCCCCCCCCGCCCCUCUCCUCACAGGCCUAUGCGCUUUUGCCUUCCCCGUUGCCUCUGCUUAAAAAUGCAUGCGACAAAACUGCUUUGUAUUUGCAAAGAGGGGAGUCGUGGUUAACAAUGAGCGGCAAUUGGGCUGGAAAUAGAUUUAUCAGGCUUCAAGGAUUAUUGUUUGCUGAGAGAUGGUACACACAUGACUAUUUCACAGUUCAGCUAUGACAUUAUUAACCUACUGUGCGAGGAUUUUAUUGCCAGAUUGGUCCAUUUAUCAAAAAUAAGAGAAACUCAAAACCCCAUAAGGAAGUUAACAUUUCAGGCAGCCUUGGCUUUCACUUAAUGCCAUUAAUCUAUCUAUUUACACAAGCGCAAGAAAUGUUCAUUUAGGAACGUCUCUCCAUUUGGUAUAAAAGCUGCAAGACGGUACUGGAGGCAAGCAUGUGAAUGUCAUGCUCAUUGUCACAGGAAAAAUGAGUGUUUUCCCCAUCAAAUGAGUUGGAGUCCCAAGAGCCUGCCACAUCUUCUGGGCUGCCAUGUGCUGGGUGCUCAACUAGCAAAGGCUAAACCGAAGGGCUGGAACAUUUAAAUCCUCAAGCUGGAGAGAGAGGUGUGAAAGAAGGUGGACACUCCUGACCAUUGUGUGACAAUGCACAAGAUAAAAAGACACCAAGUUUCUUGAAGGAAAAAAAUUCCUAUCCAACCUGAUUACAGCAACGAACGCUUGUAGUAAAAAAGGAUAGGAAAGUGAUGGCAGACAGCGCAAUAAUUCAGAGAGGUGCAACUGGUUUUGGACUACAAAGACAGUGCUCUUUUGGUGUAUCUUCUCCAAGAGGAGGUUUCACUAACGUGGGGUAUGAUGGCACAAUACACACGGUCCUGUCACACAUCGCUGAGUGCCCAGGACGUCAUGAACACCCUGAGAUGUCACAGAGCCCUGCUAUUCGUGGGUGAAUCUGCACCACGGUGUUAGAAAUUGACCUCCCUGUGGGUAAGGACAGGGGCCUUAAAGAAAAAGGAGGGGGCAAAAUGGCUCCGUUUCCAUUCUUCCAUCUUUUUUGCUUGUUUUCUCCUUCAUUUUUUUUCUUUGUGUGUGUUAUUAUUUCUUGACGGAGGAGAAGACAAUCGACAAGCUCAUAAAAUGCCUGCAACCCCUAACAUUGAUCCUAUCCAUCUUUUUUUCUUCAAAAAAAAAUGUAAUGUUGGAAAAGUGAAGAGAAGCCACAGCCAGAAAGAGGAAUACUCAUUUAUGGUAGAUAGAGACGCAGGUGUGUGUAUAUACGUGUAAAUAUGCACGUAUAUGUCUAUGUGCAUCAACAUAUAUAGAUAGAAACACAGAUACUUAAUACAUUUCAAGAAAUGAAUGUCUU
rnacentral:lncRNA from 1 species